GCAUUGGUGGUGUAGCGGUAACAUUGGGUCUUCCCACUUGUUGAGUGGCCUAGCCCCGGGUUCGACUCCCGGCCAAUGCA